rnacentral:rRNA from 1 species
GAAAACAAAAAAUCAUGGCGGUAUCUUAAGCUUUUCAGAGGAAUUUGCUCUUUAAUGGAUAAAACACCCAAAUCUUACUGAAAUUGGUUAAGACAGUUUGUAUACCACUAUUUAAGUAAUUAUUAAUUAUAAUUACUGUAAAUUUUAAACAAAAAAAAAGUUAAGUCAAGGUGCAGCUUAAAUUUUAGGAUGAAGUGAAUUACAACGCUUUUUAGAAAAGUGAUUAAAAAAAAUUAGGAUUUGAAAGUAAAAAUUUUAAUAGAAUGAUUAUUUGAAUUAAGCUCUGAGAUAUGUA